CUAUAUUUCCGUUAAGGACUUAUGGCAAAGGAG
ncrna:unclassified sequences L31-Firmicutes ribosomal protein leader